CCACUCUAAGGAUCGCACCUGGAGAGUUUCCAGUACUCUACCAGUCUCAGCUGUGGGAGGAAGAGUCAAGCAGAGGCAUACCAAUUCCAUUCCUAGCUUGGGCAGUGGCUAGCAAGUAGAAGGCAGUCUGCCACAAGU
rnacentral:snoRNA from 1 species